ACCGCAUGGUUCUACAGUGAAAGACGGUCUUGCUGUCACUUAUAGAUGGACCCGCGCCGUAUUAGCUAGUUGGUGGGGUAACGGCCUACCAAGGCGACGAUACGUAGCCGACCUGAGAGGGUGAUCGGCCACACUGGAACUGAGACACGGUCCAGACUCCUACGGGAGGCAGCAGUAGGGAAUCUUCCGCAAUGGGCGAAAGCCUGACGGAGCAACGCCGCGUGAGUGAUGAAGGUCUUCGGAUCGUAAAGCUCUGUUGUUAGGGAAGAACAAAUGUGUAAGUAACUGUGCACAUCUUGACGGUACCUAACCAGAAAGCCACGGCUAACUACGUGCCAGCAGCCGCGGUAAUACGUAGGUGGCAAGCGUUAUCCGGAAUUAUUGGGCGUAAAGCGCGCGUAGGCGGUUUUUUAAGUCUGAUGUGAAAGCCCACGGCUCAACCGUGGAGGGUCAUUGGAAACUGGAAAACUUGAGUGCAGAAGAGGAAAGUGGAAUUCCAUGUGUAGCGGUGAAAUGCGCAGAGAUAUGGAGGAACACCAGUGGCGAAGGCGGCUUUCUGGUCUGCAACUGACGCUGAUGUGCGAAAGCGUGGGGAUCAAACAGGAUUAGAUACCCUGGUAGUCCACGCCGUAAACGAUGAGUGCUAAGUGUUAGGGGGUUUCCGCCCCUUAGUGCUGCAGCUAACGCAUUAAGCACUCCGCCUGGGGAGUACGGUCGCAAGACUGAAACUCAAAGGAAUUGACGGGGACCCGCACAAGCGGUGGAGCAUGUGGUUUAAUUCGAAGCAACGCGAAGAACCUUACCAAAUCUUGACAUCCUUUGACCGCUCUAGAGAUAGAGUUUUCCUCUUCGGAGGACAAAGUGACAGGUGGUGCAUGGUUGUCGUCAGCUCGUGUCGUGAGAUGUUGGGUUAAGUCCCGCAACGAGCGCAACCCUUGAACUUAGUUGCCAUCAUUCAGUUGGGCACUCUAAGUUGACUGCCGGUGACAAACCGGAGGAAGGUGGGGAUGACGUCAAAUCAUCAUGCCCCUUAUGAUUUGGGCUACACACGUGCUACAAUGGACAAUACAAAGGGCAGCGAAACCGCGAGGUCAAGCAAAUCCCAUAAAGUUGUUCUCAGUUCGGAUUGUAGUCUGCAACUCGACUACAUGAAGCUGGAAUCGCUAGUAAUCGUAGAUCAGCAUGCUACGGUGAAUACGUUCCCGGGUCUUGUACACACCGCCCGUCACACCACGAGAGUUUGUAACACCCGAAGCCGGUGGAGUAACCAUUUUGGAGCUAGCCGUCGAAGGUGGGACAAAUGAUUGGGGUGAAGUCGUAACAAGGUAGCCGUAUCGGAAGGUGCGGCUGGAUCACCUCCUUUCUA
rnacentral:rRNA from 1 species